rnacentral:rRNA from 1 species
AUUGAACGCUGGCGGCAUGCCUUACACAUGCAAGUCGAACGGCAGCACGGGAGCAAUCCCUGGUAGGCGAGUGGCGAACGGGUGAGUAAUAUAUCGGAACGUGCCCGGUCGUGGGGAUAACGUAGCGAAAGCCUACGCUAAUAACCGCCAUACGAUCUACGGAUGAAAGCGGGGGAUCGCAAGACCUCGCGCGAUUGGAGCGGCCGAUAUCAGAUUAGGUAGUUGGUGAGGUAAAGGCUCACCAAGCCGACGAUCCUGUAAGCUGGUCUGAGAGGACGACCAGCCACACUGGGACUGAGACACGGCCCAGACCUCC